GUCCUAGCCGUAAACGGUGCACGUUUGCUGUAAAAGGAAUCGACCCCUUUGUGGCGAAGCUAACGCGUUAAACGUGCCGCCUGGGAAGUACGGUCGCAAGAUUAAAACUCAAAGAAAUUGACGGGGCCUGCACAAGCGGUGGAGUAUGUGGCUUAAUUCGAUGCAACGCGAAGAACCUUACCUGGCCUUGACAUGCACAUAGUAGAAGGGUGAAAGCCUGACGAGGUAGCAAUACCAGUGUGCACAGGUGCUGCAUGGCUGUCGU
rnacentral:rRNA from 1 species